GUUUUUAUUUCCUGAAACUUUCACUUAAACAAAACCAAGAGUCCAUUUUAUAUUCUCCUCCUUCAAUUGCUUCUUCUUCUUCUCAUUUGUUUGUGUUUCUUUUUCCUCACCAGAUAACGUACGGCAGCAUUCUGGUCUGGGACAUGCAUAGCAGAACACAUAAUGCAGGGUGGGGGCAAGAGUGAGCAGAUUAGGUAACUAUGUUUCUAUCUAAUGAAUUUUACUGAAGAUAUGUACAUGAGCAAUCAAAAAUUUCAGUGGAGCACAUAAGCCAACAAUUCGGACUUAUUUCUCUCCCACCCCCAAAAUAAGAACAUAAUAUUUCACUUUCAGUUUCUUUAAUCAAGAAUAUGUAUAUAUAUAUAAAAUAAAGGGCAGAUAACAAA
rnacentral:misc_RNA from 1 species